rnacentral:rRNA from 1 species
GGAAGACUGCCCUAUGGGUUGUAAACCUCUUUUAUAAGGGAAGAAUAAGUUCUACGUGUAGAAUGAUGCCUGUACCUUAUGAAUAAGCAUCGGCUAACUCCGUGCCAGCAGCCGCGGUAAUACGGAGGAUGCGAGCGUUAUCCGGAUUUAUUGGGUUUAAAGGGUGCGUAGGCGGUUUAUUAAGUUAGUGGUUAAAUAUUUGAGCUAAACUCAAUUGUGCCAUUAAUACUGGUAAACUGGAGUACAGACGAGGUAGGCGGAAUAAGUUAAGUAGCGGUGAAAUGCAUAGAUAUAACUUAGAACUCCGAUAGCGAAGGCAGCUUACCAGACUGUAACUGACGCUGAUGCACGAGAGCGUGGGUAGCGAACAGGAUUAGAUACCCUGGUAGUCCACGCCGUAAACGAUGCUCACUGGUUCUGUGCGAUAUAUUGUACGGGAUUAAGCGAAAGUAUUAAGUGAGCCACCUGGGGAGUACGUCGGCAACGAUGAAACUCAAAGGAAUUGACGGGGGCCCGCACAAGCGGAGGAACAUGUGGUUUAAUUCGAUGAUACGCGAGGAACCUUACCUGGGUUUAAAUGGGAAAUGUCGUAUUUGGAAACAGAUAUUCUCUUCGGAGCGUUUUUCAAGGUGCUGCAUGGUUGUCGUCAGCUCGUGCCGUGAGGUGUCGGGUUAAGUCCCAUAACGAGCGCAACCCUUACCGUUAGUUGCUAGCAUGUAAUGAUGAGCACUCUAACGGGACUGCCACCGUAAGGUGAGAGGAAGGCGGGGAUGACGUCAAAUCAGCACGGCCCUUACACCCAGGGCUACACACGUGUUACAAUGGCCGGUACAGAGGGCCGCUACCAGGUGACUGGAUGCCAAUCUCAAAAGCCGGUCGUAGUUCGGAUUGGAGUCUGUAACCCGACUCCAUGAAGUUGGAUUCGCUAGUAAUCGCGCAUCAGCCAUG